rnacentral:rRNA from 1 species
CCUACGGGAGGCAGCAGUGGGGAAUAUUGGACAAUGGGCGAAAGCCUGAUCCAGCAAUUCCGCGUGUGUGAAGAAGGCCUUCGGGUUGUAAAGCACUUUAGUGGGGGAAGAAACAGCUUGGCCACACCAAGCCUUGACGGUACCCCAAGAAUAAGCACCGGCUAACUCUGUGCCAGCAGCCGCGGUAAUACAGAGGGUGCAAGCGUUAAUCGGAUUUACUGGGCGUAAAGGGUGCGUAGGUGGCUAUUUAAGUCGGAUGUGAAAGCCCGGGGCUCAACCUCGGAAUUGCAUUCGAUACUGAGUGGCUAGAGUUCGGUAGAGGGCGGCGGAAUUUCCGGUGUAGCGGUGAAAUGCGUAGAUAUCGGAAGGAACAUCAAUGGCGGAGGCAGCCGCCUGGGCCUGGACUGACACUGAGGCACGAAAGCGUGGGUAGCAAACAGGAUUAGAUACCCUGGUAGUCCACGCCGUAAACGAUGAGAACUUGACGUUGGUUCGUUUUACGAAUCGGUGUCGCAGCUAACGCGAUAAGUUCUCCGCCUGGGGNGACGCGCGAGUAGAANACAAGAAUAGCGNGAGAGNGCGAGACGACGACGAGGAGAGG